rnacentral:rRNA from 1 species
AAACCAACCGGGAUUGCCUCAGUAACGGCGAGUGAAGCGGCAAAAGCUCAAAUUUGGAAUCUGGCGCCCUCGGCGUCCGAGUUGUAAUUUGAAGACUCUAUCUUGGGAGGCGGCGCUGUCGAAGUUCCUUGGAACAGGACGUCACAGAGGGUGAGAAUCCCGUGCGAUGGCAGCCGCGGACCGUGUAAGUUAGUGUCGACGAGUCGAGUUGUUUGGGAAUGCAGCUCUAAGUGGGUGGUAAACUCCAUCUAAAGCUAAAUAUUGGCGAGAGACCGAUAGCGAACAAGUACAGUGAUGGAAAGAUGAAAAGAACUUUGAAAAGAGAGUGAAAAAGUACGUGAAAUUGUUGAAAGGGAAGGGCUUGAGAUCAGACAUGCCUUCGGGCAGGCCAGCAUCAGCUGGAAGGGGCAGACAAGGGCGCCGCAAUGUGGCCUGGCUUCGGCUAGGUGUUAUAGGCGGCGUCGAUGUGUCCACUUCCGGCUGAGGACCGCGCUUCGGCAAGGAUGCUGGCGUAAUGAUCCCCAGCCGC